rnacentral:rRNA from 1 species
UGGGGAAUUUUGGACAAUGGGCGAAAGCCUGAUCCAGCAAUGCCGCGUGUGUGAAGAAGGCCUUCGGGUUGUAAAGCACUUUUGUCCGGAAAGAAAUCCUUGGCUCUAAUACAGUCGGGGGAUGACGGUACCGGAAGAAUAAGCACCGGCUAACUACGUGCCAGCAGCCGCGUAAUACGUAGGGUGCAAGCGUUAAUCGGAAUUACUGGGCGUAAAGCGUGCGCAGGCGGUUUGCUAAGACCGAUGUGAAAUCCCCGGGCUCAACCUGGGAACUGCAUUGGUGACUGGCAGGCUAGAGUAUGGCAGAGGGGGGUUAGAAUUCCACGUGUAGCAGUGAAAUGCGUAGAGAUGUGGAGGAAUACCGAUGGCGAAGGCAGCCCCCUGGGCCAAUACUGACGCUCAUGCACGAAAGCGUGGGGAGCAAACAGGAUUAGAUACCCUGGUAGUCCACGCCCUAAACGAUGUCAACUAGUUGUUGGGGAUUCAUUUCCUUAGUAACGUAGCUAACGCGUGAAGUUGACCGCCUGGGGAGUACGGUCGCAAGAUUAAAACUUAAAUGAAUUGACGGGGUCAUAGCUGUUUCCU